UAAAAACUACUUAGACUGAUUAAUCGAUUAUCAAACUAGUUGGCGAUUAAUUCAGUAAUCGAUUACUAAUUGAUUAACAGUUGCAGCUCUAGUUUGCUUCUCUGAAAUUCAUUGUUAACUGUUGGAUGCAGUUACUCGUCACGCCUCCCACAGAUGAACCUCUCUCUACUGCCUCCUUGUGUCCACGUGUGUCUACUACAGCUUCACAACCAGGUCAGAGGUCACACUGUGUGUUCUGCUCACAAUCAUCCUGCAUUUUCACCUUGCAGGAUAAUUUUACAGAGAAUGAAGAAUGAAACUGGCAGUUAAAAGAUUAAAAGAGAAAUGGCAAACCACGUGUGGUGGCCCAGGACCUCGGCUCUGGAGGAGAGAGUCGGGGGAGCGGGAGGCCGAGUCCAGGAGAGAGGAGGAGGACGUCUGUUGCCUCGUGCCGUCACACAGGGCGCUGCAGUUGUGCUCAUGUCAAAUAAAGAUGAGGCGAGGAGAGAGAAGGAGGAGAAGAAGAGACUGAAGAGAGAGAGCAAAGAGAAGGAGGUGAAGGAGAUGAAGGAAAAGAUGGAAAGACAGAAAAGCGACACAGAAGAGAGAAGGAAAAGAGAAACAUUCAACCUCCUUUUACCUUUAACCCUCGCCCCCCUCUCCCUUUACACACCCUCCUUCAUAGAUGAUAAAAAUAAAUAUAACUUCAUUUCAGAAAUAA